GGGCCGCUGGUCUAGUGGUAUGAUUCUCACUUAGGGUCUUAAUUCUGAGUAUUUGCUUGCGAGAGGUCCCGGGUUCAAUCCCCGGGGGGGCCCG